AAUAAGCUAAUUAAGAGCGUAAGGUGGAUGCCUUGGCUCUCAGAGGCGAUGAAGGACGUGAUAAGCUGCGAUAAGCUACGGGGAUUGGCACACACAAUUUGAUCCGUAGAUUUCCGAAUGGGGAAACCCACUAUAUUGAAGAUAUAGUAUCCGUUAAGGAAGCAAACCCAGGGAACUGAAACAUCUAAGUACCUGGAGGAAUAGAAAACAAAAGUGAUUCCGCUAGUAGUGGCGAGCGAACGCGGAUCAGCCCAAACCAAAAUUGUUUCGGCAAUUUUGGGGUUGUAGGACCACGACAUUGAAUGUUUAAUGAAUUAGAAUUCUUUGGAAAAAGAAACCAUAGAGGGUGAUAGU
rnacentral:rRNA from 1 species